GACAGAGGGUGCAAACGUUGUUCGGAAUUACUGGGCGUAAAGCGUGUGUAGGCGGUUUGGAUAGUCGGAUGUGAAAGCCCCGGGCUCAACCCGGGAAGUGCAUUCGAUACUCCCAAGCUAGAGUAUCGGAGAGGUUGGUGGAAUUCUCGGUGUAGAGGUGAAAUUCGUAGAUAUCGAGAGGAACACCGGUGGCGAAGGCGGCCAACUGGACGAAUACUGACGCUGAGACUCGAAAGCGUGGGGAGCAAACAGG
rnacentral:rRNA from 1 species